rnacentral:rRNA from 1 species
GACGAACGCUGGCGGCGUGCCUAAUACAUGCAAGUAGAACGCUGAAGGAGGAGCUUGCUUCUCUGGAUGAGUUGCGAACGGGUGAGUAACGCGUAGGUAACCUGCCUGGUAGCGGGGGAUAACUAUUGGAAACGAUAGCUAAUACCGCAUAAGAGUAGAUGUUGCAUGACAUUUGCUUAAAAGGUGCAAUUGCAUCACUACCAGAUGGACCUGCGUUGUAUUAGCUAGUUGGUGGGGUAACGGCUCACCAAGGCGACGAUACAUAGCCGACCUGAGAGGGUGAGCGGCCACACUGGGACUGAGACACGGCCCAGACUCCUACGGGAGGCAGCAGGAGGGAAUCUUCGGCAAUGGACGGAAGUCUGACCGAGCAACGCCGCGUGAGUGAAGAAGGUUGUCGGAUCGUAAAGCUCGGUUGUAAGAGAAGAACGAGUGUGAGAGUGGAAAGUUCACACUGUGACGGUAUCUGACCAGAAAGGGACGGCUAACUACGUG